AAAAGUUGCGUUUGCGUCACACAAGAGCAGCCAUUUCCCCCUGUUGCCAUGGGAACGUUAUGAAGUGACGUAAUCACGUGACGCCAGACAGACUCACAGAGGCGAUUGACAUCUCACAACUC